UGGGAGAUAGUCCAAUGGUAGGGCACACGGCUCUGGACCGUGGAAUCUGGGUUCGAAUCCCAGUCUCCCAG
rnacentral:tRNA from 1 species